AGAAUUCCAAAAAGUUGGUCAUUUUGAUCUUUUCCUCUACCAUUAUAAACCAUACCAUUCGAUUUGUUACUUUAUAUUCUUGGUCUUCUUCUUCCUUCUUUCCUUUUUUCAUUUUCAGUCAGUGUAACCUGAGGUUGGUGAUGUUCUACCAUGAUAUGCACGUGUCCAGUUUUCCUUGUAGUUUUUUGAUAUGGUUAUGGCACCAUUGUGAGAACUCAAACUA
rnacentral:lncRNA from 1 species